CCGCCCGUCAUUGCAUUAUCCAGCUGCAGGAGACAGCGCACCGGAGGGCGCACACUGCGUUCAGGUGGCAGUGUUGAAGCCAAAAGCUUCCAGAAGUGGUUUCUGAAAAAUAAGAAUUGAAUGUAUAUGAGUAAGCAAACACAGGAAUCCAAGAAACCACAGCCCGUGACAGAUGAAGCCUAGUACAUUUCCAGCACUUCAGAAGAGUUUGCGACAGAUCUAUUCACUAUUCAUCUUGACUCCAUCAUGAAGGAAUGAAAUGCAGAUAACUCGUUAGCAAACUUUUGUGGGGAAAAGUGCCUUGUGUGAUCAGAACAAAGCCGUUUUAUAAUCAGAUUUACCAAGCUGAGAAGAGAGAGUUUCAGCAAAUGGAAGCCUCAGCGUUCUGUCACCAGGAAACACUACGUUAUCCAGAGUCGGUAAGUGAAAAGUGGCAUUGUCCCUAAUAGAUAUCAUAUGGUGUGUGGGAGAAUUGCAAAAUUGUUCACAGACCCCUAACAAGUGUGUAGAACAGAGAACAUAAAACAAAGGUAGGAAUUUUUAAAGCAGGCAGCCCCACAGUAUAGCAUAAAAGCUUGGAAGGAACCAAGUAAUUAACAAAGCGAGCUGGGUGUUACUUACUAGUUCAAGUAAACAUAUGUAAUAGAACUAGAUCUUAACGUUUUGAACAUGGUUUCCUUUUCAGUGGGGCAAAGCAUGAAAUCAAAAUGGGUUGUUUGCUUGAAUUGCUACAUGAAUUUUCCAUGGAUAGAGAUUUGCAUUCAGUCUGACUAGCAAGUUGAAAUGUGAAGAGAUACUUUCAGAAUUAUUAGGCUCCUUUCCUUCCCCAGCGUGUCGUAUUUUAUCUAGAUCUUUACAAAAUGAAAGUUGAAGCAGCGCACGCAAAACAUCUGAUUGUGAACGGCAGAUUAUGGUGGUCAUAGAAUUUGUUUUGCAUUCAUGUCAUGGUUUUAAGAUUGUUCUGUUUGAUUACAUUAGUAAAGCAAAAGGGUGCUCAUUUCCAUACAGUGCAUAACAUUUUCAAGAUGGUAAUGAGCAACUAACUCUUAGUGUGUCUGCCUGCUUCCUUUCUCUGAAACCUGAAAUUCAGUUUUCUGAUUUUGAAUCUGAGCUGUUCCUAUUCCAGAAAAAAAAAAAAAAAAAAAAAAAAAAAAACAAAAAAAACAAAAAAACAAAACAGUAAGGCUGUGAAUAUCUGUGUUCCAAAGGACACUGAGAUAGCAGUUUUAUAUUAGUAUGAAUGUUUGACUUCUUGACUUUGCUGAAAUAAGAUUUCAUAAAGGUUGACCUAACAAGUAGAUUAGGAUAGUAGGUGGCUGCUUGAUUUUUGUGUUUCUUAUUGGUCAGUAGAAGUAAUCAUGUGAUAUAUACUUACAAAGUAUUAGAUAGAAAUUUUCAAGUGUCAGUAAUGAUAUAGGUAUUCUAGGCAAUCUCCAUUUAUGAGUGUAAACAUGUAAUUAUGACAUAAACAGAAUUGGGCUUCGAAUUAUAAAGGGUGUCAGAUUAUUUAUUUUUCUUUAAGUAGCCCCAACUGAAUUAAAAGUAGAAGGUACGUUCUUGACUUCUGGCUCUCAUUCUGUUCCUUUUGAAAUCCUAAAAUCCUCAGCUUAAAAGAAGAAAGCCAUAACAGGAAAGCAAUGCUGUUAGUUUCUGUUAGUUGAGUGGGCUGCAGAUGGGAAGAAUAUGUUGGAAUCUGUAAAUUAUUUCCCCAACACGUUAAGGUUUUGAAAAUAUUUUUUCUUAGGCCAAUAGUUCCCAAGGCUUAAAUUUUAAUGAAAAGACAAACAUGAGCUGUGAGAUGCAGAUUCAGCUGUACAUCAGUACACUGGUGUUGCAAAUUUUUUCGAAUGUCACAUGUCAUUUGGCUUAAUUAAGGUGUGCCCUCCUGCCACACAUGCAUUUAAAUGUUUGAGAAGGAGAAAGAAAAUGGUGAGAAAGCGUGAUAGUAUUUCUAGCUAAUUUAUAUCCUACUGCUAGUGUGUAUUCAGUGACUAGUACUUAUUUUCACCUCUGUAUUUCACAUAAAUGCUUGGAUAAAAAAUAUGGUAAUUUAAUAUUGGGCUUAGUACAUGCAGGAUAAGAAAAAGACUAUAUAAAACUUCAGAUGUUCUUCAGACACUUAGAAGCCAUUGUCUUGAGUGAUUAAAAAUGGGAUAUAAUAUAAAUUGAAAUAGUAAAUGUUAGAAAGUAUGUCCCAGAAGAUUCUCCAAUAUCUUCAUCUUUAAAAUUCAGUUUGUCAUUCUUUCU